rnacentral:rRNA from 1 species
GAAGAACGCUGGCGGCGUGCCUAAUACAUGCAAGUCGAGCGAACAGACGAGGAGCUUGCUCCUCUGACGUUAGCGGCGGACGGGUGAGUAACACGUGGAUAACCUACCUAUAAGACUGGGAUAACUUCGGGAAACCGGAGCUAAUACCGGAUAAUAUAUUGAACCGCAUGGUUCAAUAGUGAAAGACGGUUUUGCUGUCACUUAUAGAUGGAUCCGCGCCGCAUUAGCUAGUUGGUAAGGUAACGGCUUACCAAGGCAACGAUGCGUAGCCGACCUGAGAGGGUGAUCGGCCACACUGGAACUGAGACACGGUCCAGACUCCUACGGGAGGCAGCAGUAGGGAAUCUUCCGCAAAGGGCGAAAGCCUGACGGAGCAACGCCGCGUGAGUGAUGAAGGUCUUCGGAUCGUAAAACUCUGUUAUUAGGGAAGAACAAAUGUGUAAGUAACUAUGCACGUCUUGACGGUACCUAAUCAGAAAGCCACGGCUAACUACGUG